rnacentral:rRNA from 1 species
GACGAACGCUGGCGGCGUGCUUAACACAUGCAAGUCGAACGGAGAAUUUUAUUUCGGUGAAAUUCUUAGUGGCGAACGGGUGAGUAACGCGUAGACAACCUACCUCUCAGAUGGGGACAACAUCGCGAAAGCGGUGCUAAUACCGAAUGAUGUAACUUUUCUGCAUGGAGAAGUUACCAAAGGCGGCCUCUAUUUAUAAGCUGUCACUGAGAGACGGGUCUGCGUCUGAUUAGCUGGUUGGCGGGGUAAUGGCCCACCAAGGCGACGAUCAGUAGCCGGUCUGAGAGGAUGAACGGCCACAUUGGGACUGAGACACGGCCCAAACUCCUACGGGAGGCAGCAGUGGGGAAUCUUCCGCAAUGGACGAAAGUCUGACGGAGCAACGCCGCGUGAGUGAAGAAGGUUUUCGGAUCGUAAAGCUCUGUUGUUUGAGACGAACGUGCAAUUUUUGAAUAAGGAAUUGUAAUGACGGUAUUAAACGAGAAAGCCACGGCUAACUACGUGCCAGCCGCCGCCGUAA